rnacentral:rRNA from 1 species
UACGUAGGGUCCGAGCGUUGUCCGGAAUUAUUGGGCGUAAAGGGCUCGUAGGCGGUCCGUCGCGUCGGGAGUGAAAACCCGGGGCUCGAACCCCGGGCCUGCAGCCGAUACGGGCAGACUAGAGUUCGGCAGGGGAGACUGGAAUUCCGUGGUGUAGCGGGUGAAAUGCGCAGAUAAUCAGGAGGAACACCGGUGGCGAAGGCGGGUCUCGUGGGCCGAUACUGACGCUGAGGAGCGAAGCGUGGGGAGCGAACAGG